rnacentral:rRNA from 1 species
UACGGAGGAUGCGAGCGUUAUCCGGAUUUAUUGGGUUUAAAGGGUGCGUAGGCGGCCUGCCAAGUCAGCGGUAAAAUUGCGGGGCUCAACCCCGUACAGCCGUUGAAACUGCCGGGCUCGAGUGGGCGAGAAGUAUGCGGAAUGCGUGGUGUAGCGGUGAAAUGCAUAGAUAUCACGCAGAACCCCGAUUGCGAAGGCAGCAUACCGGCGCCCUACUGACGCUGGGGCACGAAAGUGCGGGGAUCAAACGGG